rnacentral:pre_miRNA from 1 species
UUGCUUUGUCCUAAGUUAAAUUUGUCCAUAUUUGAUUAAGUUUAAAAAAUAUAAUAACAACUAUAUCACCAAACAUAUGCACUAUCAAAACAUAUUUCAUGGUGAAUUCAAUUAAACAAAUUUGAUAUAUUAGAUGUUGUUAUAUUUUUUUAUAAACUUAGUCAAAAUUUGGACAAGUUUGACUUAGGACAAAGCAAG